UACGAAGGGGGCUAGCGUUGUUCGGAAUUACUGGGCGUAAAGCGCGCGCAGGCGGCUAUCCAAGUCAGUGGUGAAAGCCCGGAGCUCAACUCCGGAACUGCCAUUGAAACUGUUUAGCUUGAGGAUGAGAGAGGUGAGUGGAAUUCCCAGUGUAGAGGUGAAAUUCGUAGAUAUUGGGAAGAACACCGGUGGCGAAGGCGGGACUCUGGGCCGAUACUGACGCUGAGGAGCGAAAGCGUGGGGAGCAAACAGG
rnacentral:rRNA from 1 species